CGUAGAGCUCACACUAGAUGGUCAGUGGCAGCUGGUACGGCCUCCUUCCCUCUCUGACAAGCUUGUGGCUUCCCAGGGAUUCUUCAUUCGUGGGACUAUGUCUGCUGUGGCAGGUUCUCAGGUGUGUGGGACUAUGUCUGCUGUGGCAGGUUCUCAGGUGUGUGGGACUAUGUCUGCUGUGGCAGGUUCUCAGGCGGUACUAGGAUGUUGGAAUGUUGGCCCGUGAAACUACGUGAGGCUUUUCUCCCCCCUUCCUGUGUUAAUGUCACAUAUGCCAUGUGACAUUACCCUUCUCUUCUGGGUUCUAUGGCCCAGCUGCAGUGGGAGAUAGCCCCUGC